UGGGGAAUAUUGCACAAUGGGCGCAAGCCUGAUGCAGCAACGCCGCGUGAACGAUGAAGGUCUUCGGAUCGUAAAGUUCUGUUGCAGGGGAAGAUAAUGACGGUACCCUGUGAGGAAGCCCCGGCUAACUACGUGCCAGCAGCCGCGGUAAUACGUAGGGGGCUAGCGUUAUCCGGAUUUACUGGGCGUAAAGGGUGCGUAGGUGGUCUUUCAAGUCGGUGGUUAAAGGCUACGGCUCAACCGUAGUUAGCCUCCGAAACUGGAAGACUUGAGUGCAGGAGAGGAAAGUGGAAUUCCCAGUGUGGCGGUGAAAUGCGUAGAUAUUGGGAGGAACACCAGUAGCGAAGGCGGCUUUCUGGACUGCAACUGACACUGAGGCACGAAAGCGUGGGUAGCAAACAGG
rnacentral:rRNA from 1 species